rnacentral:tRNA from 1 species
GGCGGGAUGUGCCGCGUAAGGUUGUACCUCGUUGCCGCUGAGGCGGAGAACGGAACGGCCGGUUGGUUCGGUUCCGAGUCUCGCCC